UACGGGGGGGGCAAGCGUUGUUCGGAAUUACUGGGCGUAAAGGGCGCGUAGGCGGUUGGAUAAGUCAGCUGUGAAAACCACGGGCUUAACUCGUGGCCUGCAGUUGAGACUGUCUGGCUUGAGUGUGGGAGAGGAGAGUGGAAUUCCUGGUGUAGCGGUGAAAUGCGUAGAUAUCAGGAGGAACACCAAUGGCGAAGGCAGCACUCUGGGACGUGACUGACGCUGAGGAGCGAAAGCGUGGGGAGCAAACAGG
rnacentral:rRNA from 1 species